GGGUCGGUGCCCGAGUGGCCAAUGGGAACGGGCUGUAAACCCGUCGGUUCACACCUACGGAGGUUCGAAUCCUCCUCGGCCCACCA
rnacentral:tRNA from 1 species